rfam:Daucus carota subsp. sativus cultivar DH1 chromosome 2, whole genome shotgun sequence.
GAGAGAACAACCAGUGAAGCUAGCCAAAAAUGCCUGCCUAGCUCAAACCAAGUCAAAAAGACUUAGCACUAAAUGGCUAAAAUCUUUUGAAGGUGGCAUGUAGGCAAGUCAUUCUUGGCUACCAAACAUGGUUUUUCUCU